UGUUGUUUAUUUUUAUUCUGAAGCGGAUUUGUUCAAAACCGGAAGUAGAAAAAGCCGAAACCGGAAAUGAUUUUAAAAGAACCACAAUAGGUAAAGAAAAACAUGAGAAAACUUCUACAUUUACAGUUAAAUAAUUGUCAAACAUGUACAGAGGCUAAAGAUAGCAGGAGUGUUUGGAAACUUCAUCUGUGAUGAACCACAGACUGCUCUCUGCAUGACGACGGCUACGAUUCCUGGAAAAGCCAGUCAGCUGACAAACAUGAGAUGAUGUGGUCGUGUUUGUUUUGUUGUGCGGACAUUGCUCUCACCACUCGUCACCGGGGCAGUUUGGAUCAAGGUUAAAGAGGCUGGAAUUCAAUUCUCCUCCUCCGUGUCUGAGGCUGUGGACAGGAUGGAUGAGUUGUUAUCAAAGGUACUGUACUAAGUUCUUAAGGCUUCAAACCCCAGUCCUCAAACUGUGGGACCCGUGUCACUGCUGGUACCCUGGACCUCUCUUGUGGUUCUCAGAAGUCACUGAAUUGUGAUAAAAAGCUAUAGAGAUAAAGAUGAGUGGUUUAACCAGAUUACAGUCUUGGCUUCUAUCAGAAACGACUUGAAACAAAAGAGAAGUGGAUAUUUUUGAGAACCCCUGUGGCAUCUGGAGUGAGUGGUUUUUAACCCGUGUCCUAGUGGCUACUUAAGCUGCACCAGUAAGUCUCUGUAGGAGCUUUUAGCUGCUUAAAGUGCCAAACUGCAGAGAAAUGUUUGUUUUGUGAGGCAGAAUAAAACUGCAGUGAGUGUGUGGAUCAUGUUGUCAUCCCAGCCUUCAGCCUGGGUUAGGUGUGUUUUUGUUUGUUUGUAUCUCAGUAGCUUCCUUCUAUGAUCAGAUUGUUUGGAGUCGGGAGUUAAAGACGAGGUACAGGCUGUUUUCAGGUUAAUUAGGAUUCCAUCUAUUCAGUUUAAAAGUUAAAAUGUGAAGAUAGU